rnacentral:rRNA from 1 species
AAUAAACGCUGGCGGCGUGCCUAACACAUGCAAGUCGAGCGAGAAAGCUCCUUCGGGAGUGAGUACAGCGGCAGACGGGUGAGUAACGCGUGGGAAUCUGCCCUUUAGUGAGGAAUACCUUCGAGACAUCGGAGUUAACACCGCAUACGUCCCUUCGGGGAGAAAGAUGGCCUCUUUGCUGUCGCUAAAGGAUGAGCCUGCGUACUAUUAGCUAGUUGGUAGGGUAUGGCCUACCAAGGCGAUGAUGGUUAGCCGGCCUGAGAGGGUGAUCGGCCACAUUGGAACUGAGACACGGUCCAGACUCCUACGGGAGGCAGCAGUGAGGAAUAUUGCGCAAUGGGCGAAAGCCUGACGCAGCGACACCGCGUGAAGGAUGAAGGCUUUAGGGUCGUAAACUUCUGUUAAGUGGGAAGAAAGAUCUAGUACUAAUACGACUAGAGAAUGACGGUACCACUAGAGAAAGCACCGGCUAACUUCGUGCCAGCCGCCGCGGUAA